rnacentral:rRNA from 1 species
UACGGAGGGAGCUAGCGUUGUUCGGAAUUACUGGGCGUAAAGCGCGCGUAGGCGGCUUUGUAAGUUAGAGGCGAAAGCCCGGGGCUCAACCCCGGAACUGCCUUUAAGACUGCAUCGCUUGAAUCCAGGAGAGGUGAGUGGAAUUCCGAGUGUAGAGGUGAAAUUCGUAGAUAUUCGGAAGAACACCAGUGGCGAAGGCGGCUCACUGGACUGGUAUUGACGCUGAUGUGCGAAAGCGUGGGGAGCAAACAGG